rnacentral:rRNA from 1 species
UACGGGGGGGGCAAGCGUUGUUCGGAAUUACUGGGCGUAAAGGGCUCGUAGGUGGCCAACUAAGUCAGACGUGAAAUCCCACGGCUUAACCGUGGAACUGCUUGGUAUACUGCUUAUCUUGGGCCACUUAGGGGCUACCGGAACAAACGGUGGAGCGGUGAAAUUCGUAGAUAUCGUUUGGAACGCCAAUGGUGAAAACAGGUAGCUGGGAGUGUGCCGACGCUGAGACACGAAAGCCAGGGGAGCGAACGGG